rnacentral:rRNA from 1 species
UUUAUGGAGAGUUUGAUCCUGGCUCAGAGUGAACGCUGGCGGCGUGCCUAAUACAUGCAAGUCGAACGAUGAAGCUUCUAGCUUGCUAGAAUGCUGAUUAGUGGCGCACGGGUGAGUAACGCAUAGGUCAUGUGCCUCUUAGUUUGGGAUAGCCAUUGGAAACGAUGAUUAAUACCAGAUACUCCCUACGGGGGAAAGAUUUAUCGCUAAGAGAUCAGCCUAUGUCCUAUCAGCUUGUUGGUAAGGUAAUGGCUUACCAAGGCUAUGACGGGUAUCCGGCCUGAGAGGGUGAACGGACACACUGGAACUGAGAUACGGUCCAGACUCCUACGGGAGGCAGCAGUAGGGAAUAUUGCUCAAUGGGGGAAACCCUGAAGCAGCAACGCCGCGUGGAGGAUGAAGGUUUUAGGAUUGUAAACUCCUUUUGUUAGAGAAGAUAAUGACGGUAUCUAACGAAUAAGCACCGGCUAACUCCGUGCCAGCAGCCGCGGUAAUACGGAGGGUGCAAGCGUUACUCGGAAUCACUGGGCGUAAAGAGCGCGUAGGCGGGAUAGUCAGUCAGGUGUGAAAUCCUAUGGCUUAACCAUAGAACUGCAUUUGAAACUACUAUUCUAGAGUGUGGGAGAGGUAGGUGGAAUUCUUGGUGUAGGGGUAAAAUCCGUAGAGAUCAAGAGGAAUACUCAUUGCGAAGGCGACCUGCUGGAACAUUACUGACGCUGAUUGCGCGAAAGCGUGGGGAGCAAACAGGAUUAGAUACCCUGGUAGUCCACGCCCUAAACGAUGGAUGCUAGUUGUUGGAGGGCUUAGUCUCUCCAGUAAUGCAGCUAACGCAUUAAGCAUCCCGCCUGGGGAGUACGGUCGCAAGAUUAAAACUCAAAGGAAUAGACGGGGACCCGCACAAGCGGUGGAGCAUGUGGUUUAAUUCGAAGAUACACGAAGAACCUUACCUAGGCUUGACAUUGAGAGAAUCCGCUAGAAAUAGUGGAGUGUCUAGCUUGCUAGACCUUGAAAACAGGUGCUGCACGGCUGUCGUCAGCUCGUGUCGUGAGAUGUUGGGUUAAGUCCCGCAACGAGCGCAACCCCCUUUCUUAGUUGCUAACAGGUCAUGCUGAGAACUCUAAGGAUACUGCCUCCGUAAGGAGGAGGAAGGUGGGGACGACGUCAAGUCAUCAUGGCCCUUACGCCUAGGGCUACACACGUGCUACAAUGGGGUGCACAAAGAGAAGCAAUACUGCGAAGUGGAGCCAAUCUUCAAAACACCUCUCAGUUCGGAUUGUAGGCUGCAACUCGCCUGCAUGAAGCUGGAAUCGCUAGUAAUCGCAAAUCAGCCAUGUUGCGGUGAAUACGUUCCCGGGUCUUGUACUCACCGCCCGUCACACCAUGGGAGUUGUGUUUGCCUUAAGUCAGGAUGCUAAAUUGGCUACUGCCCACGGCACACACAGCGACUGGGGUGAAGUCGUAACAAGGUAACCGUAGGUGAACCUGCGGUUGGAUCACCUCCUUUCUAGA